AGUGAACGCUGGCGGUAGGCCUAACACAUGCAAGUCGAACGGCAGCACAGUAAGAGCUUGCUCUUACGGGUGGCGAGUGGCGGACGGGUGAGGAAUACAUCGGAAUCUACUUUUUCGUGGGGGAUAACGUAGGGAAACUUACGCUAAUACCGCAUACGACCUACGGGUGAAAGCAGGGGAUCUUCGGACCUUGCGCGAUUGAAUGAGCCGAUGUCGGAUUAGCUAGUUGGCGGGGUAAAGGCCCACCAAGGCGACGAUCCGUAGCUGGUCUGAGAGGAUGAACAGCCCCACCGGGACUGGGGAACGGUCCCAGCUCCUACGGGGGGGCGGCAUGGGGAAAUUUGGACAAUGGGCCGAAGGCCGGUCCCACCCAUCCGGGGGGGUGAAGGAAGGCUUCCGGUUGUUAAGCCCUUUUGUUGGGAAAGAAAAAGCGCAAGUUAAAAACCCGCUGGUCUGGCGGUACCCAAAAGAUAAGGACCGGCCAACUUCCGU
rnacentral:rRNA from 1 species